UUAGAGUUUGAUCCUGGCUCAGAUUGAACGCUGGCGGCAGGCUUAACACAUGCAAGUCGAGCGGAAACGAUGAUAGCUUGCUAUCAGGCGUCGAGCGGCGGACGGGUGAGUAAUACUUAGGAAUCUACCUAGUAGUGGGGGAUAGCACGGGGAAACUCGUAUUAAUACCGCAUACGACCUACGGGAGAAAGGGGGCAGUUUACUGCUCUCGCUAUUAGAUGAGCCUAAGUCGGAUUAGCUAGAUGGUGGGGUAAAGGCCUACCAUGGCGACGAUCUGUAGCUGGUCUGAGAGGAUGAUCAGCCACACCGGGACUGAGACACGGCCCGGACUCCUACGGGAGGCAGCAGUGGGGAAUAUUGGACAAUGGGGGAAACCCUGAUCCAGCCAUGCCGCGUGUGUGAAGAAGGCCUUUUGGUUGUAAAGCACUUUAAGCAGUGAAGAAGACUCCGUGGUUAAUACCCACGGACGAUGACAUUAGCUGCAGAAUAAGCACCGGCUAACUCUGUGCCAGCAGCCGCGGUAAUACAGAGGGUGCAAGCGUUAAUCGGAAUUACUGGGCGUAAAGGGAGCGUAGGUGGCUCUAUAAGUCAGAUGUGAAAUCCCCGGGCUCAACCUGGGAACUGCAUCUGAAACUGUAGAGCUAGAGUAUGUGAGAGGAAGGUAGAAUUCCAGGUGUAGCGGUGAAAUGCGUAGAGAUCUGGAGGAAUACCGAUGGCGAAGGCAGCCUUCUGGCAUAAUACUGACACUGAGGCUCGAAAGCGUGGGUAGCAAACAGGAUUAGAUACCCUGGUAGUCCACGCCGUAAACGAUGUCUACUAGUCGUUGGGUCCCUUGAGGACUUAGUGACGCAGCUAACGCAAUAAGUAGACCGCCUGGGGAGUACGGCCGCAAGGUUAAAACUCAAAUGAAUUGACGGGGGCCCGCACAAGCGGUGGAGCAUGUGGUUUAAUUCGAUGCAACGCGAAGAACCUUACCUGGUCUUGACAUAUCUAGAAUCCUGCAGAGAUGCGGGAGUGCCUUCGGGAAUUAGAAUACAGGUGCUGCAUGGCUGUCGUCAGCUCGUGUCGUGAGAUGUUGGGUUAAGUCCCGCAACGAGCGCAACCCUUGUCCUUAGUUACCAGCGGGUUAAGCCGGGAACUCUAAGGAUACUGCCAGUGACAAACUGGAGGAAGGCGGGGACGACGUCAAGUCAUCAUGGCCCUUACGACCAGGGCUACACACGUGCUACAAUGGUAGGUACAGAGGGCAGCUACACAGCGAUGUGAUGCGAAUCUCAAAAAGCCUAUCGUAGUCCAGAUUGGAGUCUGCAACUCGACUCCAUGAAGUAGGAAUCGCUAGUAAUCGCGGAUCAGAAUGCCGCGGUGAAUACGUUCCCGGGCCUUGUACACACCGCCCGUCACACCAUGGGAGUUGAUUGCACCAGAAGUGGAUAGCUUAACCUUCGGGGAGGCGUUCACCACGGUGUGGUUGAUGACUGGGGUGAAGUCGUAACAAGGUAGCCGUAGGGGAACCUGCGGCUGGAUCA
rnacentral:rRNA from 1 species